ACUCGAUCUAUAAGAACUUGCAUGAUUUUAAUAUCAAACUACUGAGACCAUUGCUUUAUUUAAAUACGACAAUAGACAUACUCUUCAUAGUAAUAUUUGCAACAUGUCUGGUUAACACACGGCAGUGCCUCUACAAAAACGAUGUUGUAAUUCAAACGAAAGCAUACUCGACUCCAAAAUCCUGAUCAAAUACAUCUAUUGCGAAUAUAACUAAUUUCUGUUCCUUUUCUGCUAACCGUGGUCAUGCGUUUGAAUCGUGUUUCCGACGGGAAUAAGGAGAUCACGCCGAAUUUUAAUUUAAUACCAACUGGUAAAUGUACUCUUAAAUAAAAUGCAAGAUCGCAGUGGUGCGUUAUACAAGAAUCAAUUGCAAAUGAAAUCUCUGGGUGUAGAAAACAAAUCGUAAACUAUUUGCGUGGAUUGAGAUCGGACCUUACUAUUUCAAUGAAUAGUUAAAUAGUUAUUAAUGUAGAAAUAAUUUUCUAUAGUUCCAGGUUUUGAAACGACUACUGAUAUAUUAACCGGAGCAGAUUUAUUACGUGAUAAGAAUACAUGUGGAAAAUUUAGUAUCCUUGCCGAUGUUUUGCACAUACGAACAAGUCAAUUAUGCUUUGACAGUUUAGAUUACAAUUCAACAAUCAGUCCGUUUUAAUCGAAGUAAUGCAUCAACACAUUCAAAACAGGAUGGUCGAGGCGGAGAGAAGAUACAAAGCUAGGUUUUUGAGAGGUCGAGCUACGAUUAAAAGAUUCCAGAAGGGAGAUAUUACCGUGGAUGACUUCGAAAUGUGGCACAUGACCAGCUACGAAUGUGGCACAUGACCAGCUACGAUGAGACUUCACAGCAUCUGAGGGACGACACAGAAUUACUAAGCAAGCAGUUAGGUGGACGGUUCGCCUACCUAAUAGUUAUCCGAAAACAAUGCAGAGCACGCAUCAGUAUAACCGUAUCGGCAUGACUUCGGACGAUGAAGCAUCAAUUCUUGAACCUGGCCCAUACUCUACGAGACCUGCAACGGGUACGAGAACAUAACGAAAGCUAAGCAAGAGAGAACACAUCACCAGGCAGGUGCAGAGCACGCACCGCCUGCCAGAAUGGCCGUAUCGGCGCAAGCAGCUUCAAUGACGGAUGCAACAUGGAAAUAACUGGCACCAAUUAUUAUAACACCUUAUUGGUCGUCGUUACUAUUGUUAAAAGUAAAACGAAAUCAAAGAGAAUAGAACUAUGUUUGAAUUCUGGUUUAAAUAUGACGUCUGGACGCACGACAGGGGACUGCAGAGUUCAGCGAGUGCGGAGCAUAAAGAACCUUCGAGAAAUACAAGAACAUUUAGAAGAA